UAUGGGUAUCCACACGAGACUCUGAUCUGAUCAGAAGCUUUUUGAUCUCACGGAGUGCUAGCUCCCUUGCAGAGAUCGCAUCUUGAUGGUUAAAAAAUUUUUUUUCUCCUAAGACACUCUUAGAGAACAAGAAGAUGUAGGAAGAUCUUGAUCUCUACACUAGAGAUCAUGAGAAGAACCAUUUCUUCUUUUUUCUUCCUAAAAUUCAUGCACCAAAUCUCGAUAGUAGAGAUGUAAUAACUUUGUCCAACUUUUAGAUAAAGAAAGGAGGAGACAUCCAUGUCUAAACAUGGACAAGAGGGAGAAGAA
rnacentral:lncRNA from 1 species